CACCGUGCUCCUCCUCCCCUAGUUAUCACAUGUGCUCCUCCUCCCCUAGUUAUCACACCAUGCUCCUCCUCCCCUAGUUAUCACACCGUGCUCCUCCUCCCCUAGUUAUCACAUGGUGCUCAUCCUCCCCUAGUUAUCACAUGUGCUCCUCCUCCCCUAGUUAUCACACCGUGCUCCUCCUCCCCUAGUUAUCACAUGUGCUCCUCCUCCCCUAGUUAUCACAUGUGCUCCUCCUCCCCUAGUUACCACAUGUGCUCCUCGUCCCCUAGUUAUCACACUGUGCUCCUCCUCCCCUAGUUAUCACACCGUGCUCCUCCUCCCCUAGUUAUCACACUGUGCUCCUCCUCCCCUAGUUAUCACAUGUGCUCCUCCUCCCCUAGUUAUCACACCGUGCUCCUCCUCCCCUAGUUGCCACGCUGAAAGCUGGUGUUGGCCAGCAGAGGCCCUCGCAUGGGAGCAUGUGGAGGUGGCUGUUCUC
rnacentral:lncRNA from 1 species